UAAAGGCAGUAACUCUAUCUGGAAUUGAGGAAUGCGAAAAUAGGGUUCGUGAGAAAAAGUUGAAGGAGGCGGAGCCGACGGAGGAGUUGAAGUUCGCCUUGGAGGAUCUUCCGGCAAGCUGGUUCUCGAGGUCAGCGAGUGUUCUGAGAUGUUGUUGCGGAAGAGCAUGAUGAAGGAGACGUGCUUGGAGGCGAGGAGGUUGAGGUAGAAGGUCUUGAGGAGUGCGUGGCAGGGCUCGGUGGUGUCCUGGAAGACGCAGACGCGGUAGCCGCCGGCGAAGGAGGUGGAAGGCAUGAAAUAACAAUGUUACGCGGGCGUCGGGCCUUGCAGCAAACAAAACCCAACCACGGAACGAAUCGCCCCCCCCUCAAGAGAAACGAGGCUCAUCUCCAAUCUCUCUUCCCGUCGCCGCAAGCCAUAUGAUCUUCCUCUGUCGAGUUCACGACGGCGGACGACGAGGCAAAGGCAAGGCGUUCACGCUGACGACAUUGACACUUUGUCCUUCCCCUUGUUAGGUGUUUAGGUUUUCUUCCUUUUAAGAUUCUGGAAAAGUUUUUGGAGGUGGAAGGUUUUCAUGCCUAGAGAGUAUACCAGGAAACACCCAAAAUGGUUGGGUUUCUGCAAAUUUGCAGGGCUGCCAUAGAGGCGGAUUUGGUUACCGGGAUAGCAUUUCCAGAGCAAUGUUUUGUGUGAGAGUUGUUUUUUGACCUUUCCAUGUAU